rnacentral:rRNA from 1 species
UACAGAGGGUGCAAGCGUUGUCCGGAAUCACUGGGCGUAAAGGGCGCGUAGGCGGCCCGGUAAGUCGGGGGUGAAAUCUCACGGCUCAACUGUGAGGCUGCCUUCUAGACUGCCAGGCUCGAGCACAGUAGAGACUGGUGGAAUUCCCGGUGUAGCGGUGGAAUGCGUAGAGAUCGGGAAGAACAUCUGUGGCGAAGGCGGCCAGCUGGGCUGUUGCUGACGCCGAGGCGCGACAGCGUGGGGAGCAAACAGG